rnacentral:rRNA from 1 species
AACGAACGCUGGCGGCAGGCCUAACACAUGCAAGUCGAACGCUCGUAGCAAUACGGGAGUGGCAGACGGGUGAGUAACACGUGGGAACCUUCCCUAUGGUUCGGAAUAGCUCAGGGAAACUUGGGGUAAUACCGGAUAAGCCCUUCGGGGAAAGGAUUAUCGCCACUGGAUGGGCCCGCGUCGGAUUAGCUAGUUGGUGAGGUAACGGCUCACCAAGGCAACGAUCCGUAGCUGGUCUGAGAGGAUGAUCAGCCACACUGGGACUGAGACACGGCCCAGACUCCUACGGGAGGCAGCAGUGGGGAAUAUUGGACAAUGGGCGCAAGCCUGAUCCAGCCAUGCCGCGUGAGUGACGAAGG